rnacentral:lncRNA from 1 species
UGUACGCGCUUGCAACGAGAAACGCAUACUUAAGUGCAAGUUUUGUGUUUCGUUUCAUUCAUAUACCUACGCAAUGGAUAGCAAAUUUUUAUUAGUUCUGUUCCUCGCGAUCACAAUGAACUGCCUUGCGGAGCCCCAGUGGAACCACGAAUCCUGCCCGUGUCCCCGGGUCUAUACCCCAGUUUGUGCCUCCAACGGACAGACCUACAACUCCUAUUGCGAAUUCCAAUGCCACCUGAACCAGCUACAAGGCCUGGGCCAUGAUCUGCACGUUGUGAGGGGCGGCAGAUGUGGCGGGGGCUUUUAGAUCUUGUUUAAAUACAUCGCUAUAUUUUUAAACUGUUGUUGUAAUAUUGAAUAUUAAACCCAAAGGUUAUAUUUUUCAACAGAAUUAUAAGAGGUUCUCAAUUUGCUGGAGUCUUGUUUCUUGAAAGGGUUGGGAUUGGGAUAAAUGGACUAAGUGUGAAAUUAUGCGAUAAUAAAUAUAUAAUAAUAGUCAAAUA